CAACAACAGGACAGCUUCCUCACUUUCUUUCAUUGGACAGCUAAUGUGAGAGCUAAUCCAGUAUGUGGAGAGACACGUUCAACAUUUUCCUCUGUCAAGGGAACAUCUUCACAGGAUAGGUGACCGAAGGAUUCCUUUGAAAACAUUUCAGAGGGGAAAUGACUUUGACAGGAUGGUCCUAGUGUUACCUUCAAAUUGGAAGCAAUGGGGUGCUAUGCCCAAGUGGUUGGUUUGUCAAAGAGCAGGAUUUACCACAUGAGCAUACAGCUAUACAGAAACAGAAAGUAAAAGUAAUAGAAUCAAAGGAAGGAGGAAAGAAAAAAGAAAAAGGAGAAAGCAAAGCUCCUGAACAAUGCCUCUUUCCGUGACAGCAAUUCUCUCUUACCA
rnacentral:lncRNA from 1 species